rnacentral:rRNA from 1 species
UACGGAGGGUGCGAGCGUUAAUCGGAAUUACUGGGCGUAAAGCGCACGCAGGCGGUCAAUUAAGUCAGAUGUGAAAGCCCCGAGCUUAACCCGGGAAUUGCAUCUGAUACUGGUCAGCUAGAGUCUUGUAGAGGGGGGUAGAAUUCCAUGUGUAGCGGUGAAAUGCGUAGAGAUGUGGAGGAAUACCGGUGGCGAAGGCAGCCCCUUGGGAAUGUACUGACGCUCAUGUGCGAAAGCGUGGGGAGCAAACAGG